rnacentral:rRNA from 1 species
UACAGGGGGGGCAAGCGUUGUUCGGAAUUACUGGGCGUAAAGGGCGCGUAGGCGGCCUUCUAAGUCGAACGUGAAAUCCCCGGGCUCAACCCGGGAACUGCGUCCGAUACUGGAAGGCUUGAAUCCGGGAGAGGGAUGCGGAAUUCCAGGUGUAGCGGUGAAAUGCGUAGAUAUCUGGAGGAACGCCGGUGGCGAAGGCGGCAUCCUGGACCAAUUCUGACGCUGAGGAGCGAAAGCCAGGGGAGCAAACGGG